rnacentral:rRNA from 1 species
GCGAAAACUUUACAAUGCUGGCAACAGCGAUGAGGGAAUUCCAAGUGCCAGCACAUUGUGUUGGCUGUUCUCUGGUCUAAAAAACCGGAGAAGUAAGGGCCGGGUAAGACGGGUGCCAGCCGCCGCGGUAAUACCCGCGGCCCGAGUGGUGGUCGAUAUUAUUGAGCCUAGAACGUCCGUAGCCGGUCUUGUAAAUCCUUGGGUAAAUCGACCAGCUUAACUGUUCGAAGUCCGGGGAGACUGCAAGACUUGGGAUCGGGAGAGGUGAGAGGUACUUCUGGGGUAGGGGUAAAAUCCUGUAAUCCUAGAAGGACCACCGGUGGCGAAGGCGUCUCACUAGAACGAAUCCGACGGUGAGGGACGAAGCCCUGGGGCGCAAACG